rnacentral:rRNA from 1 species
UACAGAGGUCUCGAGCGUUGUUCGGAUUCAUUGGGCGUAAAGGGCGCGUAGGCGGCGGGGUAAGUCUGGUGUGAAAUCUCGGAGCUCAACUCCGAAAUUGCACUGGAUACUGCUCUGCUAGAGGGCUGGAGAGGAGAUCGGAAUUCACGGUGUAGCAGUGAAAUGCGUAGAUAUCGUGAGGAAGACCAGUGGCGAAGGCGGAUCUCUGGACAGCUCCUGACGCUGAGGCGCGAAGGCUAGGGGAGCAAACGGA